rnacentral:lncRNA from 1 species
UACAGAAUUCGUUCAUAAACUUAAAAAUACAAUAGUGCAAAAUUAUUUGAAAAAGUUAAAAAAGACUUUGUAUCAAGACCUAUGUUUUUGUACAUAAAAGAAAGUCUUUAAUUUCGAUCUUUCUUAGCGAAAAUAUGUAGAAAAUAAUAUCGAGGAGUAAAUAAAUAAAUAAAUAUUGAAUUGAAUAUUAAUAAAAAUCUUGGUGAUUAUGCUUAUAUACCCCACGCCUCAGAUUACCACUAUACAAUAAUAUCACCAGGUUCAUUAGUUCAAAAACUGUUUACCCCUUCUGAAGCCGAAUGAUAAAAAAAGGUGGACAUGGGCAUUUAUUAUAAAGGAGAUGUGAUAUGAUUGCAAAUGAGACAACUGUCCACAAGAGACCAAAUAACACAGACAUUAACAACUAUAGGUCACCGUACGGCCUUCAACAAUUAGCAAAGCCCGUACCGCAUGUGGAUAUGGGCAUUUAUUAUAAAGGAGAUGUGAUAUGAUUGCAAAUGAGACAACUGUUCACAAGAGACCAAAAUAACUGAAAUUAACAACUAUAGGUCACCGUACGGCCUUCAACAAUGAACAAACCCUAUACAGCGUAGUCAGCAUUAAAAGGCUCAUUUACAUAUAUUGCCCAUAAUUUUGUAAGUGGUUUUGGUGACAAUAUUAAGGUAGAAAAAGAAGUUUACAGGAUCAUAAUUUCGAGAAAAAAACCAUUGAAUCAUAAUUUUCUGUUCAUAUGCACGUCUUCAUAAUAUGUCCUAAUUAUCUACAAAGUUCAAGACUGACUGACUGACGGACGGAUGGUUCAAAACAUUAUAUUCUACUACAUUAUUUGCGUGGGGAAUAAUUAUUAAAACCCUAUUUUUGCUAUUUCGAUACAAUGAGUGACCAUAUUGAACGCCUCAUUCAAACUACAAUAUGAUUUAUUUAUUCUUUUUUUUUGAAGCAGUACUACAUUUCUUUUUAAAAAAAUUCUAUGGUGUAUAUUAAAAUUAAUAGUCAGGGCGGUUUAAUAAUCUAAUGCUUUCAUUUCCCUAUUUGAAUAGUAAUAUAUAGUUUAUAUACUAAUUCUACUUCUGUAGUUUUAGAAAUAUCAAAUCAUUGUAAGUGACAUCGUUCUUUACGUGUAUUGAUGAAAUGCUUGUAAAUUAGAUAAAAAGUAUUUUAAUUAGUACAAUAGUAAAUCAAAUUUCAAAACUAUUAGUUUAAUGUGAAGCAAAUACAGCUUUAUCCAGUCUUUCAGUUAAUUUCCUAUGAUACCCUAGCGUUUAAUACAGUACUCCUCAGAUUCUUUGCUAACAGUGAGUUAAUAAUUAGCACCGGAGCAGAUAUUUCUAUGUGCAAAGAAUAAUUAUGUUGCUUAAAUUAACUGCAAGUACAAUGUGUGACAGGGACCAAGUCCCGAAAAAAAUAUUGUUCGUCAUAACAUUUAAACUCAUAGCAAGACUUUCAAUAAGUUGUUCAAACAUUAACUACUAAAAAAUCAUCAAUUAUUCAUAUUGUAGAAGUUUUUUUGAAAGAAAUAAAUUUGUUUAUGUUUUUUUUAUUGUAAGAAAUACUUAGAGUAUUG